AUUGAACGCUGGCGGCAGGCCUAACACAUGCAAGUCGAGCGGUAACAGAACUAGCUUGCUAGUUGCUGACGAGCGGCGGACGGGUGCGUAACACGUAGGAAUCUGCCCGGUAGUGGGGGAUAGCCCGGAGAAAUCCGGAUUAAUACCGCAUACGUCCUACUCUUUUUCGGAAGAGGGGGGAAAGCAGGGGAAUCUUCGGAUCCUUGCGCUAUCGGAUGAGCCUGCGUCGGAUUAGCUAGUUGGUAGGGUAAAGGCCUACCAAGGCAACGAUCCGUAG
rnacentral:rRNA from 1 species